rnacentral:misc_RNA from 1 species
AUCUUUAAUUUUUAUCAUUAUACAUAUUAUUUAUUAUAGAAGAGUGGGGUUUUAAAUACAAUAAUUUCACGAGACCAUGAACGUAAUGCCAAGCUCGCUAAAAUUGGUAAUGAUCCUUCCGCAGGUUCACCUACGGAAA